UAUGAAGUAUGUUUUACUUCUCAGCUGUGUUUUUCCUUCACAGAGACCAGCUUAUGUGAAGGCUGAACCCAAACCAAAAAAGACAACUAAGAAAGACAAAGCAGCUAAUGUCAAAAAGGAGGAUAAAAAGACCAAGGUGAAGGCCAAGGAGAGCUCAGAGUCUGCAGCCAGCGAGGAGAACCACUCCGAAAAUUGAGAGGCCAAGACCAAAGCGGUCACAAAGACUCAAAAAGCAACGAAGGAAGUGAAAUCUGAGUAGCACUAUUGCCUCCCAUCAACACUGUCAUCACAGCUCCCCGUCACUCCUAGUGUUGUGUCAUUGCCCAACCUCCAAGGCAUAUUGUUCACAGAGAAAUAUUUUUAUCAAUGGUUUUAUAAGUAUCAGCACAGGUUUUUUAGCACAAAAUUAAGCUAAAUGCUGAGCACCCUGUAGAUCUGCAGCGAUUGUUUCUGCAAGAAUGCCACACUAAAGGUAUUUUUAAAUGCCAUUUAUUGUUAUUGAUAACUUAUUUGGUCUAGAAAAAUCAUAUCUGCCUCUAGAGUUUGGAGUGUUUUCUUAAAGUGUUUCCGCAUGCUCUUCAUCCUCCUUCCUCACACUUGUUUUUAAGGUUUUAAAAAGUGGUUAUAAAUGGCUGGGGGAAGUUUACUUUUUUUGACUUUGUAUAUUUUCUUUGCUAUUUAGACAUUUGUCCUAGAUUUUGGUGUAUUAUUCUUAACGGGGGGAGGUGGGUAUCAUAACCUUCAAGAAGAGAUUUGAGAGAGCUGAUAUAUUUCACUGUAUCUUUAAAAAAAAAUCUAAAAAUUAAAAAUGGCAGCUUAUUAAAUAUAAUUUUUUUCAUGCAAAUUGUUUUUUUUUUUACCAUGUGAUUGACGUGUUGAAGUCUGCAGGUUGUUAUGUACGCUCUCUGAUGUUGCAGUGUCUGCUAAUAAAGAAAAGAGUGGAAUUUUCCUCA